GAUGAACGCUGGCGGCGUGCCUAAUACAUGCAAGUCGAGCGAACGGACGAGAAGCUUGCUUCUCUGAUGUUAGCGGCGGACGGGUGAGUAACACGUGGAUAACCUACCUAUAAGACUGGGAUAACUUCGGGAAACCGGAGCUAAUACCGGAUAAUAUUUUGAACCGCAUGGUUCAAAAGUGAAAGACGGUCUUGCUGUCACCUAUAGAUGGAUCCGCGCUGCAUUAGCUAGUUGGUAAGGUAACGGCUUACCAAGGCAACGAUGCAUAGCGACCUGAGAGGGUGAUCGGCCACACUGGAACUGAGACACGGUCCAGACUCCUACGGGAGGCAGCAGUAGGGAAUCUUCCGCAAUGGGCGAAAGCCUGACGGAGCAACGCCGCGUGAGUGAUGAAGGUCUUCGGAUCGUAAAACUCUGUUAUUAGGGAAGAACAUAUGUGUAAGUAACUGUGCACAUCUUGACGGUACCUAAUCAGAAAGCCACGGCUAACUACGUG
rnacentral:rRNA from 1 species